rnacentral:rRNA from 1 species
GACCGGUGACAGGUGCUGCAUGGCUGUCGUCAGCUCGUGUCGUGAGAUGUUGGGUUACGUCCCGCAACGAGCGCAACCCUCGCCUCUAGUUGCCAUCAUUUAGUUGGGCACUUUAGAGGAACCGCCGGUGAUAAGCCGGAGGAAGGUGGGGAUGACGUCAAGUCCUCAUGGCCCUUACGGUCUGGGCUACACA